GCUUGCUAUAAUUGUCAGCUAAGUGGCGCACGGGUGAGUAAUGUAUAGAUAACCUGCCCUUAAGAAAGGAAUAACAGUUGGAAACGACUGCUAAUGCCCUAUAUGCCUUUAAUACAUAAGUAUGCAAGGGAAACGCUUUAGUGCUUAAGGAUGGGUCUGUAUGGUAUCAGCUUGUUGGUGAGGUAAUGGCUCACCAAGGCUAUGACGCCUAACUGGUUUGAGAGGAUGAUCAGUCACACUGGAACUGAGACACGGUCCAGACUCCUACGGGAGGCAGCAGUGGGGAAUAUUGCACAAUGGACGAAAGUCUGAUGCAGCAACGCCGCGUGGAGGAUGACACAUUUCGGUGCGUAAACUCCUUUUAUAUAGGAAGAUAAUGACGGUACUAUAUGAAUAAGCACCGGCUAACUCCGUGCCAGCAGCCGCGGUAAUACGGAGGGUGCAAGCGUUACUCGGAAUCACUGGGCGUAAAGAGCGUGUAGGCGGGUAUAUAAGUCAGAAGUGAAAUCCAAUAGCUCAACUAUUGAACUGCUUUUGAAACUGUAUACCUAGAAUGUGGGAGAGGUAGAUGGAAUUUCUGGUGUAGGGGUAAAAUCCGUA
rnacentral:rRNA from 1 species